CAUAAAGUCCAUUUACAGAAUGUCUGCUUUUUGUUAAAGACUGUUAGUCAUUAUCAGCGCUUCAGUACAGGUGGACAUUGAAUAUCCCACAAUACCUGAGGAUCCACUAACUAACAUGUGCUAAUGUUUGUCUGUUGCAGAUCAAGAGCAGCGAGCAAGCCGGGGCCAAGAAGCCCUCCUCACCAAAGAAGAAAAAGAAAAGAGUUGCUGACCUCUUCUCCCCUCAGAAAGCAGCUGAACAAUGCAGUGAGGAUGGGGGUUCAGAUGUAGUAGAUCAAGAGCAGGGAGCAAGCCGGGCCAAGAAGCCCUCCUCACCAAAGAAGAAAAAGAAAAGAGAGAGAAAACUGGGGAAAGCUAAGGAGACAACCAGGAUAACAGUGAAGAGACCAUGGUGUGAAGAAGAGAGAAGCGCAGUAAACAAACAUCUAGCAAGGUUUGUGGCAGAGCGCAGAGUUCCUGGAAAAGCAGACUGCAUGAAGUGCCUAGAAGAGGAAAAGGUCCCGAAGGA
ensembl:lncRNA